rnacentral:lncRNA from 1 species
CUGAAACAAACAAAACAAAUGAGUGAGCUAGAAGUCUAGUAUGUGACUUGGCCCACAAUCAUAAUUUUACUUAUAGAGUUCACAUAUACAAUAAUCAGAUCAGAAUUUUUCAUAUAUUCAGAACAUAUAGAAUAAUAGAACAAAUUCUACCCCCAUCCGCUACACACCAUCUCUGUCUAACCAAUCACACCAAUUAGGACUACAAGAGUCCAUCCAUCCAAUCACACCGGUACGUGGCGGUAUGCCAUUCAUAAAUGUGUCGUUGAGCUGCUAGAUAGAAGUUUGCGAUUUAACCGCUAGAAUUGCAGUAAAAAUUCCAUAAUACACUUUCUCCAUCAUAUCAAAACCCACCCCAAAUGCAUAUGCAACAACAUAUAGCAUAUAUACAUAUCUCAUAAUUUGUAUGGCAUGCAUAGCGAAACAUAUAAUUUGUAGAACAUAACAUAUCGCACAACUUAUACUAAACGAAGCCUACUUAUCAUGCUUUCUAAUAAUACUCAUGUGUAACAUAUUGAAUUUUAUGUUUUUAUAAGCUUAAAAAAGGCACAUGGAUCCAAUUUUCAAGUUCUAUUAUUGGCCUAUAAUUGAGCAUUCAUAUUAGCCAAAAGAGGACCCACAUGGCCCAAUAAGCCAGCCCGUGUGGUCCACAUGGGCUACCUAUUCAGGCCGUGUAAUCACAUAUGGUCGUGUGCUCCACAUGACCUGGUACACGACCAUGUGGUGCACAUGUUUUCCACAUGGCCGUGUGAUGUUGGGCAGUUUCAAAAACAACCCCUGUUUUAGGGUUUUUUCGAGAUUCAGUCAAGUUUUUUGGG